rnacentral:lncRNA from 1 species
AUGGACACACACACUCUUGGACACACAGGUUCACACAUAUGCGGGCACACACGCUCUCAGGGACACACAUACACACACGGACACACAUGCUCUCAGGGACACACAGGCUCACACGCACACGGACACACAGACUCUCAGGGACACACACAGCACUGGCACACGUGCUGUCUCGGACACAGGCUCACAUGCACACACUCUCUUGGACACACAGGCUCACACACACAUGGAUAUACACGCUUUCAGACACACAGGCUCACACAUAGACGGGCACACACUGUCUCAGUGACACAGACACACAUACAUGGACACACGCUGUUUCAGGGACACACAGGAUCACACACAUGGACAUACAUGCUGUCUCAGGGACACACAGGCUCACACACGGAUACACAUGCUGUCUCAGGGACACACAGGCUUACACACACAGACAUACACACUGUCUCGGGGGCACACAGGCUCACACACACAGGCUGUCUCAGGGAUGCACAGGCUCACACGUACAUGGGCACACGCUCUCGGACACAGGCUCACAUGCACACAGACACAUGGUGUCUCAGGGACACAGGCUCACACACAAACGGACACACACAAUCAGGGACACAUAUACAUGCAUACGCACACACUGUCUCAGGGACACAGGCUCACACACACGCUCUCAGGGACACACAGGCUCAUACACAGGCACACAUGCUGUCUCAGGAACACACAGGCACACACACUGUCUCAGGGACACACGGGCUUACACAUACACGGGUACACAUGCUCUCGGACACACAGACACACGCUGUCUCAGACACAGGCUCACACAUACAUGGGCACACAUGCUCACACGCACACAGCCACACACAUUCAGGGACACACAGGUUCACACACACAUGGAUACACACGCUCUCUCAGGGACACACAGGCUCACAGGUAUAUGGCCACACACGGGGACACUCUCUCAGGGAUGCACAGGCCCACACACACACGGACACACAUGCUCUCUCAGAGAUACACAGGCUCACAUGUAUAUGGGCACACACGCUCUCUCAGGGACCCACAGGCCCAUAUGCAUGCCACAUACCCGACCUGGAGCGGGGCUGGGGGACCUGCACUUCUUGGAGCAAGGAGCCUCUGGCACCCUGGUCUGUGGCGGGCGUCACCAGCCCAGGCAGAUGCUGUUUCCGCACUUGCUCUCCCAGUAGACCCUGUCUGGAGCUGGCACAGAGUGUCCUCUGUUCCAGAUUCAGUGUGGGACGUUGGAAGCAAGCGCCUGUCGCCCACUCAUGA